rnacentral:rRNA from 1 species
AUUGAACGCUGGCGGCAGGCCUAACACAUGCAAGUCGAACGAGUGGCGGACGGGUGAGUAAUGUCUGGGAAACUGCCUGAUGGAGGGGGAUAACUACUGGAAACGGUAGCUAAUACCGCAUAACAUCAGAUGUGCCCAGAUGGGAUUAGCUAGUUGGUGGGGUAACGGCUCACCAAGGCGACAAUCCCUAGCUGGUCUGAGAGGCUGACGUGCAACACCGGAACUGAUACACGGUCAAGACUCCUACGGGAGGCAGAAGGUGGGAAUGUUGCACAAUGGGCUCAAGCCGGAUGCAGCCAUGCCGCGUGUAUGAAGAAGGCCUUCGGGUUGUAAAGUACUUUCAGCGGGGAGGCGUUACCCGCAGAAGAAGCACCGGCUAACUCCGUGCCAGCAGCCGCGGUAAUAC